AUCCUAUUUAUAAGCAAUUAAAAAGAAAAUCCAGUCAGCACCUUCAAAUUUAAACAGUUCUCAAUUACCAUACACUGAACUGUGCUGAUGUUCACUCGUGCAAACAUAAAUGUGCACCUGACACUUCAGUAACUUCACUAUGUGUUGCCAGCACCCUUUUAUUGUACAGAAUUCAAAGAUAGGAGCUUGAGGAUUUAGAGCAAAGAGAAGAAUGAUGCCUAUAACCAAGAAGCUUAUCAGCCAUCGAGAAAGCAAUGGCAAGUUCAUGAAUUACCACAAACCUAAGGCCACACAGUGCCUGCGAGCUCAGUGGACAAUUAACUGGGUCUUUACUUUGUAGCUCAGCCCCGGCCUCCUGAAUACUGACGAAUGAAUGGUGGGACUGCAGGGAUCCACUACCAUGUAUACCCACAAAGGCAACUACUGGAUAAUCAAGAGGCAACAAAAAUAUUAAUAAAAACUAAUCAGCCCAUGGUAAA